rnacentral:rRNA from 1 species
AACGAACGCUGGCGGCAUGCCUAACACAUGCAAGUCGAACGAGACCUUCGGGUCUAGUGGCGCACGGGUGCGUAACGCGUGGGAACCUGCCCUUAGGUUCGGAAUACUCCCCGAAAGGGGUGCUAAAACCGGAUAAUGUCUUCGGACCAAAGAUUUAUCGCCUUUGGAUGGGCCCGCGUUGGAUUAGCUAGUUGGUAGGGUAAAAGCCUACCAAGGCGACGAUCCAUAGCUGGUCUGAGAGGAUGAUCAGCCACACUGGGACUGAGACACGGCCCAGACUCCUACGGGAGGCAGCAGUGGGGAAUAUUGGACAAUGGGCGAAAGCCUGAUCCAGCAAUGCCGCGUGAGUGAUGAAGGCCUUAGGGUUGUAAAGCUCUUUUACCCGGGAUGAUAAUGACAGUACCGGGAGAAUAAGCUCCGGCUAACUCCGUG